rnacentral:rRNA from 1 species
UACGGCGGGGGCUAGCGUUGUUCGGAAUUACUGGGCGUAAAGCGCACGUAGGCGGUUUUUUGAGUCAGAGGUGAAAGCCCGGAGCUCAACUCCGGAAUUGCCUUUGAGACUGGGAGACUUGAAUCCAGGAGAGGUGAGUGGAAUUCCGAGUGUAGAGGUGAAAUUCGUAGAUAUUAGGAAGAACACCGGUGGCGAAGGCGGCCCACUGGAUCGGUACUGACGCUGAGGUGCGAAAGCGUGGGGAGCAAACAGG